rnacentral:rRNA from 1 species
UGGGGAAUAUUGGGCAAUGGGCGCAAGCCUGACCCAGCGACGCCGCGUGGGUGAUGAAGGCCUUCGGGUCGUAAAGCCCUGUCGGGUGGAAAGAACGGUAUGGGUGCAAAUAGCGCUCAUACGUGACGGUACCACCGAAGGAAGCACCGGCCAAUUCCGUGCCAGCAGCCGCGGUAAGACGGAAGGUGCAAGCGUUGCUCGGAAUCACUGGGCGUAAAGGGCUCGUAGGCGGCCAACUAAGUCAGACGUGAAAUCCCUCGGCUUAACCGGGGAACUGCGUCUGAUACUGGAUGGCUUGAGGUUGGGAGAGGGAUGCGGAAUUCCAGGUGUAGCGGUGAAAUGCGUAGAUAUCUGGAGGAACACCGGUGGCGAAGGCGACAUCCUGGACCAAUUCUGACGCUGAGGAGCGAAAGCCAGGGGAGCAAACGGGAUUAGAUACCCCCGUAGUCCCUGAGCGGGCUGGCAAGGCGCAU